rnacentral:rRNA from 1 species
CCCUUAGAUGUUCUGGGCCGCACACGCGCUACACUGACUGGUGCAACAAGUUUACAACCUUGGUCGAUGGGCCUGGGUAAUCUUUGAACGCCAGUCGUGAUGGGGCUAGAUUAUUGCAAUUAUUAAUCUUCAACGAGGAAUUCCUAGUAAACGCAAGUCAUCAGCUUGCAUUGAUUACGUCCCUGCCCUUUGUACACACCGCCCGUCGCACCUACCGAUUGAAUGGUCCGGUGAAACCUCUGGAUCGAGACUCGUUGGGUAACCGACCUGUUCACGAGAAGUUGGUUAAACCUUACCAUUUAGAGGAAGGUGAAGUCGUANCA